UACAGGGGGGGGCAAGCGUUGUUCGGAAUUACUGGGCGUAAAGGGCUCGUAGGUGGCCAACUAAGUCAGACGUGAAAUCCCUCAGCUUAACUGGGGAACUACGUCUGAUACUGGAUGGCUUGAGUUUGGGAGAGGGAUGCGGAAUUCCAGGUGUAGCAGUGAAAUGCGUAGAGAUGUGGAGGAACACCGAUGGCGAAGGCAGCCCCCUGGGUCAAGAUUGACGCUCAUGCACGAAAGCGUGGGGAGCAAACAGG
rnacentral:rRNA from 1 species